UAGGUGUUUAUGCUGUGAAGUGCCAGGAGCCAUUUUGUUGAAUCCAGCAGUAUAAAAACACAAGUCCAGUGUCUUCAUGGGGUGAUGCACAAAUGCUGCUACAUAUCCUAAUUUUAGCCUGCAAAGGGACUGAAACAGGGUUUCUCUCACUGAAAGCUGAAACCUCUGAUCACCAAUCUCAGGUGUGAGAGGACAGCAAGAGAAGAUGCUUACCAUAACUCAGAUGUUCAGAAGCAUGAAUAAAAGAAGGGCAGAAGGUGACCAUCAUCACUGCUGACACUGAAGCUAUUCCCUCAAAUAUCUACAGGAGGGAAGCACUGAAGAACGGUGACUCUUUCAGAGAUUUGAGCUCCUGUUCCAAGUUUUUCUUUGUAACAGAUUAUCCUCAUUAAGAGUAA